UUAGAUUCAAAGAUGUUGUCAUCAAGAAAAAACAAUGAAGUUUCAAAGGGUGUGCUAGAGCUGCACGGGCAUCUCUGGGGCUUUAGUGUUGAGGAGAAGGCAGUGACGUACAGGGGAAAAUGUGUUCCAUGUGCAUCAGAUCCAAUUACCCUAAAUCCCUUUUGUGCCACACAUCUCUGCAAAAUCUAGCCAUUUGGGGGGUGGCUGGGUGGGGGGGGAGCCAAUCAAUAUCCCUUGGCCCGUGAUGUAUUGGCUGCUACAGCAUCCGAGACUGCAUUCAGUACAGGUGGACGAAUCAUCACUGACCAUAGAACUAGGCUAUCAGGCAACACUGUAGAAGCUUUGAUUUGUUUCCAAGACUGGCUUAGAGAAGCAGGCGCAUCUUAUUUGGAUAUCAUAAGGAUUGACAGCUUGAACGAUAUUAUUGAAGAAGCUGGAGCUGCAUGACCAUUAGAAAUUCAAGGAAGGAGUCCAUGCUACUUCAAAGUUCUUGUCGCCCAUUUGUUUCUUGUAGAGCUUGUCGUAAGCUAGUUGGAUAGCUCCUGGCCGUGGAUUGAUCAUCACUGAUCUGACUAUAUCAUCGUAGCUCCAUGAAUAGUUCAAAGCUUAGACUUAAAAGUUACCAAUAAUGGUGGUUCAGAAUUAGCUGCAGGAUCUGUCUUGUGUGAGUGUGUCCUAUUCUUGUUGU